GGUCACCCUACUUCAACCGCACGUGUCUUAAUUAUUUUCAGUUUCUUACAACCUAUUGAUAUCCUCAUCGCACGUAUUCUGGAACUUAAGUCAGGAUAUUAGCUGUUUUCAAGCGAAUAUACGAUGUAUGUUUUAAGGGCAGACGCCAUCUUUCGCGCACGGCCGAGGAGCAUGGCCAGAACAUUUCUGUCACGACCUGACGAGGUUGCAGGACACAGAGGUGGUGGAACAAACAGAGCCGCUACAGUACGGAUGGCGUUGAAAAACAUCUCAGAGAUUUAUUGAAGCUUUUCAGACGCUGUCGGGGAAAUCAGCACACAGCACAUAUGCACCAGCCAAUGAAAGUAGAGAGAAGCAGAUUGUUGGGUCUGAUCUCACACCCCUCCAG